UACGUAGGGUCCGAGCGUUGUCCGGAAUUACUGGGCGUAAAGGGCUCGUAGGCGGCCAACUAAGUCAGACGUGAAAUCCCUCGGCUUAACCGGGGAACGGCCUCUGAUACUGGCUGGCUGGAGUUCGGGAGAGGGAUGCGGAAUUCCAGGUGUAGCGGUGAAAUGCGUAGAUAUCUGGAGGAACACCGGUGGCGAAGGCGGCAUCCUGGACCGACACUGACGCUGAGGAGCGAAAGCCAGGGGAGCAAACGGG
rnacentral:rRNA from 1 species